rnacentral:rRNA from 1 species
UUGGUUAAGUUAGAAAGGGCGCACGGUGGAUGCCUUGGCACUAGGAGCCGAAGAAGGACGGGACUAACACCGAUAUGCUUUGGGGAGCUGUACGUAAGCGUUGAUCCAGAGAUUUCCGAAUGGGGGAACCCACUAUCUUUAGUCGGAUAGUAUCCUUACGUGAAUACAUAGCGUGAGGAAGGCAGACCCAGGGAACUGAAACAUCUAAGUACCUGGAGGAAGAGAAAGAAAAAUCGAUUUCCUGAGUAGCGGCGAGCGAAACGGAAAGAGCCCAAACCAAGAAGCUUGCUUCUUGGGGUUGUAGGACACUCUAUACGGAGUUACAAAAGAAAGUUAUAAAUGAAGCGGUCUGGAAAGGCCCGCCAAAGACGGUAACAGCCCGGUAGUUGAAAUGGCUUUCCCUCCAGAGUGGAUCCUGAGUACGGCGGAACACGUGAAAUUCCGUCGGAAUCCGGGAGGACCAUCUCCCAAGGCUAAAUACUCCCUAGUGACCGAUAGUGAACCAGUACCGUGAGGGAAAGGUGAAAAGCACCCCGGAAGGGGAGUGAAACAGUUCCUGAAACCGUGUGCCUACAAGUAGUUAGAGCCCGUUAAUGGGUGAUAGCGUGCCUUUUGUAGAAUGAACCGGCGAGUUACGAUUUGUUGCAAGGUUAAGCGGAAAAAGCGGAGCCGUAGCGAAAGCGAGUCUGAAUAGGGCGCAUAAGUAACAGGUCGUAGACCCGAAACCAGGUGAUCUACCCAUGUCCAGGAUGAAGGUAAGGUAAUACUUACUGGAGGUCCGAACCCACGCACGUUGAAAAGUGCGGGGAUGAGGUGUGGGUAGCGGAGAAAUUCCAAUCGAACUUGGAGAUAGCUGGUUCUCUCCGAAAUAGCUUUAGGGCUAGCCUCGAGGUAAAGAGUCAUGGAGGUAGAGCACUGUUUGGACUAGGGGCCCUUCUCGGGUUACCGAAUUCAGAUAAACUCCGAAUGCCAUGUACUUAUACUCGGGAGUCAGACUGCGAGUGAUAAGAUCCGUAGUCGAAAGGGAAACAGCCCAGACCACCAGUUAAGGUCCCCAAAUAUAUGUUAAGUGGAAAAGGAUGUGGGGUUGCUUAGACAACCAGGAUGUUGGCUUAGAAGCAGCCACCAUUGAAAGAGUGCGUAAUAGCUCACUGGUCGAGUGACCCCGCGCCGAAAAUGUACCGGGGCUAAACAUAUUACCGAAACUGUGGAUGAACCUCUUUAGAGGUUCGUGGUAGGAGAGCGUUCUAAGGGCGGUGAAGUCAGACCGGAAGGACUGGUGGAGCGCUUAGAAGUGAGAAUGCCGGUAUGAGUAGCGAAAGAAGGGUGAGAAUCCCUUCCACCGAAUAUCUAAGGUUUCCUGAGGAAGGCUCGUCCGCUCAGGGUUAGUCGGGACCUAAGCCGAGGCCGAUAGGCGUAGGCGAUGGACAACAGGUAGAG